UACGGGGGGGCAAGCGUUGUUCGGAAUUACUGGGCGUAAAGGGCUCGUAGGUGGCCAACUAAGUCAGACGUGAAAUCCCUCGGCUUAACCGGGGAACUGCGUCUGAUACUGGAUGGCUUGAGUGUGGGAGAGGGAUGCGGAAUUCCAGGUGUAGCGGUGAAAUGCGUAGAUACCUGGAGGAACACCGGUGGCGAAGGCGGCAUCCUGGACCAUUACUGACACUGAAUAGCGAAAGCCAGGGGAGCAAACGGG
rnacentral:rRNA from 1 species